rnacentral:RNase_P_RNA from 1 species
CAAGGUGAACGAGUAGCCGCUUUUUAAAAGAGGAAAGUCUGAGCACCAUCGGACGUGAAUGCCGGAUAACUACCGGGCAAGGUGACUUGACGGAAAGUGCAACAGAAAAUAGACCGCCUAUUGGUAAGGGUGAAAAGGUGAGGUAAGAGCUUACCGCAUUUAAGGAAACUUUAAUGGCAUGGCAAACCCCAUUCGGUGCAAGGUCAAAUAGAGAAGCUUAAGCGAGUCCGACUAGCUUCUGGGUAGACCGCUUGAUUUACUCGGCGACGAGUGAACUAGAUAAAUGGCUACUGCCUUAUAAAGGUACAGAACUCAGCUUAUAGUUUGCCUUGAUCA